rnacentral:siRNA from 1 species
UCGAGUGCUUUCAGGAGGUCG